rnacentral:rRNA from 1 species
UACGGAGGGUGCAAGCGUUAUCCGGAUUCACUGGGUUUAAAGGGUGCGUAGGCGGGCAUUUAAGUCAGUGGUGAAAUACCUGAGCUUAACUUGGGAACUGCCAUUGAUACUAUUUGUCUUGAAUGUCGUGGAGGUUAGCGGAAUAAUGUCAUGUAGCGGUGAAAUGCUUAGAUAUGACAUAGAACACCUAUUGCGAAGGCAGCUAACUACGCGAAUAUUGACGCUGAGGCACGAAAGCGUGGGGAUCAAA